GAGCUCCCCUCCCGCGCCGGGAUUUCGGCAGGGCCGCUCGCGUGCUUGGAGAGAGGUGGGGCAGGAGAGCCCUGCGAAGCUCUGCCGCUGCUGCAGGUGGUUAUUUGCUGGCUGGCACGUCUGCUGCUCUCCUGGUGCUGCCUGCCACCCAGCACGUGAGCAAAUUGGCGCUGGGAAUCCGCGGGGCUGUGCCGGGCAGGCGGAGGUGACUUCCCGAGGAGCCUCAUCGCCAAGACCUUCGGAGCCCAGAGCUCGGGAGCCAGACCCCUCAGAGCUGGCAACUUUCUUCCGCCCCCCCCCCCCCCCCCCCCCAGGGCAUCCGUCGAAGACCACCGGCACAAAAAGGCCUUUCUGCGACUCCGACCCUCCCGCCUGCGUCCCUUGUUCCCCCUGCGGUGGGAGUGCCAGCUGCUUUACCUUGGCACGCCGCCCUGCGCAAGCUGCUCCGCGAAAGCCUGCAGCCCCCGCACGCCGCUGCGAUGCUGCCGCAGAAUAUUUCCACCCCCCGCCCCCCCCCGCUGCGGUCCCAGGCUUGCUCGCUUCCUCCCGGGGAGGCGGGGGUGGGUUGGUCCUAAUCGCAGGUCUAAGGCCUAAUUUUCACUUUCGUCUUGACUCUCUUGAGGUCACUGAGGCUGAGAACAUGCCGAGGUGACUCCUGUCCUCUUUUGCUCCAGCUGUGCCGAGCAGCUGUAGCUUAGGAAGCAGGGACAGAGCGCAUGCUCUCAUCUCCUGAAAAUCCAGGAAGAUUCCGCGUUACGCACCCCAAACCAACGGAAAAUUCUCCAUGCAUCAGUUUUUCCCCCUUUUGCCAGCUCCUCUCCCAUCACCCCAGGACGCAGCCAGCUUUUUACCGCGCUGCCCAAACCCCCCACCAAGCUUUAGAGGUUGGCAGCGCGCGGGCUUCUUGCCAACUGAGGCAAGAAGCGAGCGGUAUCUUGAAUCAACCGCAGGAUCGGGCAGUUCCUGCAGGAAAGGGAAGUGGUUGGGGUGGCGAGUGCUCAUCGCAGCUGCAUCCGUGUUUUUGUUGGAACUUCAGCGCUUACCAGUGACCUCGAGGUUAGUUUUUCCUAGGACAGUGCUGGGUGAGGAACUCUUUUAGGUGAGUGUGCUGGCAGCUCUGGCUCGGCAUGGCCUGGAAGCCCUGCUAGGGCUGGGGCUUCCAGUAAUACAGCGUGGGUCACGAGAACUGACGCCAGCGGCUGUUCCUUGCGUUCUUAAUGCCAGCGUGGUGAAGGAACCUUGCAGCUGGUGCUCCAUCCAGCACCUGGGCAGCGAUCCUCCAGGACGCAGCCCGGCUUGGUGAGGUUGAGAUCUCAGCCUGGGCGGCUGGAAGAGGUGUCCCGGUGCGAAAGGGACAUCCUCGUCCUUCCUCCUGGCUGCAGCUGUCUCUCUACAAACGUCCCGCACCUUUUCAGUCCCUUGAGAAAGAUCUCAAAACAUCUAGCAGCGUUGGCCGCUGGGGGAUGGUUUGGAUUUAGUCUGGGGGGCGGCACAGCGUGGAUUUGGAAAUGAUGCUGGAUGACGUGACCUCCUCUUUCCUCGGACGAGAUCUGCGGCAGACUUCAGUAACGAACGGGCCGAUUGCACUGCCCAGCUCCCCCGCAGGGGUCCCCACCGAUUCGGAGCGAUGCUGAGCAGAGUGGCCAGGGCCCUGCCUUAAACACGAACCUUCCCGAGCGAGCAGCCAGCUGACCUUUGUCAUGUGCUGGAGAAAAGAAUCCCUGCAGGAAACAUCCCCAUGAAAAAUCUUUAAACAGAGCGAAAAAAAAAAAAAUAGGCUGUUGUAUUCUGCUCAUUAGCUACCAGACAGACAAACGGGCUCUUCAAAGGAAGCCAGGGAGAAUAACAGGAAGGCAGUGUUAACGGGGCCGCGUCCCACCGACGGGGAGCGACAGCUGUGCAGGGGGGUCUCGGGGGCAGGAUUAGCCUUCAGCUGCUGCUCUGGGCAGAUUAGCUGGAAGCGAGGUGAGGCAGCAGCGGGAGCUGUCCCCUCGCCACAGCUGUUUGCCCACCCGGGAGAGGAAUGCCAGCUUCCCUGCCAGCCCCGGGGAAGGGGGACGUUUUCCGAGAAGCACGUGCCUCCGCUCUCGUUGUGGACUCCUCGCGGCUCCUCUUCCCGCUGCUGUUUGGAGAUCUUAAAAGUUACAGGUCCCCGUGCUGCUCUUGGCUUCUGACCGGCCGGCGGGGCAGGGACUGCCUGGCUGAUCUCCCACCCGUGAAUCCUGCCGGGCCUUCCGACGCCUUGCUUUACCCGUGGUGGUCUCCUCUCCGCUGGGAGCUGGUUCCCAGCACUCCCCUCGAAAUGCAGCGCUGUUCUCGCUGUCCUACUUCCAGCCCACAUCACCCUCAGACUUCCCCCUGCUCAGCUCUCCCCCGGCGUGCUGUGCCUGGCGAGGCCGCGGAUCCGGGCACCCGGUGGUUAGUGCGUCUCCAACGCUUGGCAGGCCUCGUUUGCCGGCUCGGAGCACUUGUUGCUCGAGUUUGCCCUUGGCCGUGCUCUCUGCUUUCCCCUGUAAAGCGCCGGUUGCUGCCUGGGGAAGGUUGGCUCGGGUCCGCUGGCACCUUCCGCCCCGACUUCUGCCGGAGCGAGGUCUCGUCCCACGCGGGUCUUUGGGCCCUGGGGCUGAGCUCUCAGCGUUCAGCCUGCAGGUGAGGCGCGGAGUCCCACAGGGCCACGGGCAGCGUCCUGGGGCCGCUCUCUGCGGGGCUGAGGUGCAGAUACUCGUCUGGAGGUGUGCCCUCUGUCACCUCCAUUCCUGGAGUUCGGCGUCACAGCCCUCAUGACAGCUUCAGGGGCUUUGUUUUUGUUUUGCCCCUCCUGGUGCUCUUCUUCUCCGAGCUCCUCCUUUGGCCUGAAGACUGCCCGCGUUCCUGCGUCCCCAGCCUUGUCCCGUGGUGUCCCUGCUCCUCUCCGCGCGGAGGGGCUGCCGAGGAUUUUCCCAGCAGGAGCAGUUUUGCCCCUGCUGCAGGGACCUGGUUUUGCAGAGGUGAGGGCUCCUGUCCUGCUGGGCGGCUCACCUCCUCCUCCUGCCGCCCUCUGCUUUUGUAGAGCAGCCAAGCGCGAAGUCACCCCGGAGAGCCAGGCUUCCAGGGGAUUUCGAGCUCGUGCUGCUGCCGUAGAGCAGCCUCGCAACAGCAGCGUGUCUGCUUUCAUUCCUCGUCCUUUGUGUGAACAGCUGCUCUCUGCAGCUUCCAGAUCACUUUGCUGGCUUUUCCUCCCUGCUCCUGCUCUAUCGCCCGGCAGGCGGGAGCCUGGAGAAGCUGGCCCUGUCCUUCCCCGCUCUGACGUCCGCGUCCUGCCCGUGUGGGACUUCACCCGCUCCCCAGACCCUUGCACAGCAGCGGGAGGUAGGCGUUCAGCCCCUCAAGUGUUUCUGCAGAGCGCUCGCUGACGGUGUCACGUCUCUAUAGUUACUCUGUUGUCAAGGCUGUGGGAGGUUUUUUACCAGAUCUGUGCCUCAGCCUGAUUUUUUUUUUUUUUUUUUAACGUCAGCGAAGCAUCUGUGAUUGCUGCGCCGUUGUGCUUGGGUGUGUCGGGGUCCGGAUCCUCUCCCCUUCCCUCCCUUCCUCUCCGCAGCGUUUGAACCCGCUGCCAGCCCGCAAUCAGAUCUGGCCGAGGGACAGAGGGCUCGGAGGCGUCGCGUUUCUCUGAGCUCAUCCCGUGCCGGGGCGAGAAAGUCCAUUCGUGCCUCCAGUUAGCCACCGCAGCCCUGUGUAGGAACGGGUCACGGAAGGAGAUUCCCCCUGACUUCUCCGCUCACGCUGACUUUCCCCUC